rnacentral:rRNA from 1 species
AUUGAACGCUGGCGGCAGGCCUAACACAUGCAAGUCGAACGAGUGGCGGACGGGUGAGUAAUGUCUGGGAAACUGCCUGAUGGCGGGUGAUAAAUACUGGAAACGGUAGCUAAUACCGCAUACCAUCAGAUGUGCCCAGAUGGGCUUAGGUAGUUGGUGGGGUAACGGCUCACCCAGGCGACGAUCCCUAGCUGGUCUGAGCGGAUGACAAGCCAAACUGGAACUGAGACACGGUCCAGACUCCUACGGUAGGCAGCAGUGGGGAAGAUUGCACAAUGGGCGCAAGCCUGAUGCAGCCAUGCCGCGUGUAUGAAGAAGGCCUUCGGGUUGUAAAGUACUUUCAGCGGGGAGGCGUUACCUGCAGAAGAAGCACCGGCUAACUCCGUGCCAGCAGCCGCGGUAAGUC